rfam:Jatropha curcas cultivar GZQX0401 scaffold266_67, whole genome shotgun sequence.
AAGAGAAGAGCUUAUUAGAAUAGCCAAGGAGACUGCCCGGAGCCAGCCGGAAAGUUUUAACGUAAGAACUUAUUAGAUGGAGCGGGCAAGUCAUCCUUGGCUACCAAAUAAGACUCUUAUCU